rnacentral:rRNA from 1 species
CCUACGGGAGGCUGCAGUGGGGAAUAUUGGACAAUGGGCGAAAGCCUGAUCCAGCCAUGUCGCGUGUGUGAAGAAGGCCUUCGGGUUGUAAAGCACUUUCAGUGGGGAAGAAAGCCUUGGGGCUAAUACCCUCGAGGAAGGACAUCACCCACAGAAGAAGCACCGGCUAACUCCGUGCCAGCAGCCGCGGUAAUACGGAGGGUGCGAGCGUUAAUCGGAAUUACUGGGCGUAAAGCGCGCGUAGGCGGUCUGAUAAGCCGGUUGUGAAAGCCCCGGGCUCAACCUGGGAACGGCAUCCGGAACUGUCAGGCUAGAGUGCAGGAGAGGAAGGUAGAAUUCCCGGUGUAGCGGUGAAAUGCGUAGAGAUCGGGAGGAAUACCAGUGGCGAAGGCGGCCUUCUGGACUGACACUGACGCUGAGGUGCGAAAGCGUGGGUAGCAAACAGGAUUAGAUACCCGAGUAGUC